rnacentral:rRNA from 1 species
UUAAGCCGGGAACUUUAAGGAUACUGCCAGUGACAAACUGGAGGAAGGCGGGGACGACGUCAAGUCAUCAUGGCCCUUACGACCAGGGCUACACACGUGCUACAAUGGUCGGUACAAAGGGUUGCUACCUAGCGAUAGGAUGCUAAUCUCAAAAAGCCGAUCGUAGUCCGGAUUGGAGUCUGCAACUCGACUCCAUGAAGUCGGAAUCGCUAGUAAUCGCGGAUCAGAAUGCCGCGGUGAAUACGUUCCCGGGCCUU